GACGAACGCUGGCGGCGUGCUUAACACAUGCAAGUCGAGCGGUAAGGCCCUUUCGGGGGUACACGAGCGGCGAACGGGUGAGUAACACGUGGGUGACCUGCCCUCAGCUCUGGGAUAAGCCUGGGAAACCGGGUCUAAUACCGGAUAUGACUCCAUGACGCAUGUUGUGGGGUGGAAAGCCUUGUGCGGCUGAGGAUGGGCCCGCGGCCUAUCAGCUUGUUGGUGGGGUGAUGGCCUACCAAGGCGACGACGGGUAGCCGGCCUGAGAGGCGACCGGCCACACUGGGACUGAGACACGGCCCAGACUCCUACGGGAGGCAGCAGUGGGGAAUCUUGGACAAUGGGCGAAAG
rnacentral:rRNA from 1 species